rnacentral:lncRNA from 1 species
AUCAGGUCUCUGCCUCUCUCUCUACCUCCCUCCCUCCCUAGCUUCCCCCAGCCUUGUGUUAUCAGGUCUCUGCCUCUCUCUCUACCUCCCUCCCUCCCUAGCUUCCCCCAGCCUUGUGUUAUCAGGUCUCUGCCUCUCUCUCUACCUCCCUCCCUCCCUAGCUUCCCCCAGCCUUGUGUUAUCAGGUCUCUGCCUCCCCCUCUACCUCCCUCCCUCCCUAGCUUCCCCCAGCCUUGUGUUAUCAGGUCUCUGCCUCCUCCUCUACCUCCCUCCCUCCCUAGCUUCCCCCAGCCAUGUGUUAUCAGGUCUCUGCCUCCUCCUCUACCUC